GGCGGCGUGCUAACACAUGCAAGUCGAACGGAGUUUUAACGGAAGUUUCGGAUGAAGUUAGAACUAGUGGCGGACGGGUGAGUAACGCGUGGGUAACCUGCCUCAUACAGGGGGAGUAACAGUUAGAAAUGACUGCUAACACCGCAUAAUAUAGCGAAACCGCAUGAUUUUGCUAUCAAAUAUUUAUAGGUAUGAGAUGGGCCCGCGUCUGACUAGCUAGUUGGUGGGGUAAAAGCCUACCAAGGCGACGAUCAGUAGCCGGCUUGAGAGAGUGACCGGCCACAUUGGGACUGAGACACGGCCCAAACUCCUACGGGAGGCAGCAGUGGGGAAUAUUGGACAAUGGGGGAAACCCUGAUCCAGCGAACCGCCGCGUGAGUGAAGAAGUAUUUCGGUAUGUAAAGCUCUAUCAGCAGGGAAGAUAAUGACAGUACCUGACUAAGAAGCCCCGGCUAACUACGUGCCAGCCGCAGC
rnacentral:rRNA from 1 species